UACGUAGGGUGCGAGCGUUGUCCGGAAUUAUUGGGCGUAAAGAGCUCGUAGGCGGUCUGUCGCGUCGGAUGUGAAACCCCGGGGCUUAACCCUGGGCCUGCAUUCGAUACUGGCAGACUAGAGUUCGGUAGGGGAGACUGGAAUUCCUGGUGUAGCGGUGAAAUGCGCAGAUAUCAGGAGGAACACCGGUGGCGAAGGCGGGUCUCUAGGCCGAUACUGACGCUGAGGAGCGAAAGCGUGGGGAGCGAACAGG
rnacentral:rRNA from 1 species